AGCGGAGGAAAAGAAACUAACAAGGAUUCCCCUAGUAACGGCGAGUGAAGCGGGAAGAGCUCAAAUUUGAAAUUCUAGUAGCCUUCGGCUGCUCGAGUUGUAAUCUAGAGAAGUGUUUUCCGUGCCGGCCCAUGUACAAGUCCCUUGGAACAGGGCGUCAUAGAGGGUGAGAAUCCCGUCCUUGACAUGGACCCCCGGUGCUCUGUGAUACACUUUCAACGAGUCGAGUUGUUUGGGAAUGCAGCUCAAAAUGGGUGGUGAAUUCCAUCUAAAGCUAAAUAUUGGCGAGAGACCGAUAGCGAACAAGUACCGUGAGGGAAAGAUGAAAAGCACUUUGGAAAGAGAGUUAAACAGUACGUGAAAUUGUUGAAAGGGAAACGAUUGAAGUCAGUCAUGCUCUUUGGUAUUUAUAUCAUUGAGUGGGGUCAACAUCAGUUUUGAUCGAUGGAUAAAGGCACUAGGAAGGUAGCACUCUCGGGUGAACUUAUAGCCUAGCGUCAUAUACAUUGAUUGGGACUGAGGAACGCAGCAUGCCUUUAUGGCCGGGAUUCGUCCACGUACAUGCUUAGGAUGUUGACAUAAUGGCUUUAAACGACCCGUCUU
rnacentral:rRNA from 1 species